rnacentral:rRNA from 1 species
AAGCGUUGUUCGGAUUUACUGGGCGUAAAGGGCGCGUAGGCGGCGUAACAAGUCACUUGUGAAAUCUCCGGGCUUAACCCGGAGCGGCCAAGUGAUACUGUUGUGCUAGAGUGCGGAAGGGGCUACUGGAAUUCUCGGUGUAGCGGUGAAAUGCGUAGAUAUUGGGAAGAACACCGGUGGCGAAAGCGCUCUGCUGGACCUGCACUGACACUGAGGGACGAAAGCUAGGGGAGCGAAUGGG